UAAAAGAAAGCACACAUUGUCUUGAGGAACAGAAAAAAACAUUAUCUAGGGAUUUUUAUAAUGCCAAGAGAAAAUUAAUCUUUCAUGGCGCAGUGGAGUAAGAAGACAGUCCCCAAAGUAUAUAAUUAAAGAGUUAUUCUGGAAAUGUGGUACUUCCUUACAAGUCUUGUUUAAAGCAUUUUAAGAAUACAGCAAUUGGUUUAGAGCUGGUGUUUGGCAAAGAUCUGCUCGAGGGAGAAGCUCUUCUAGAGAGGAAGAGACCCUGUUAAUGUUGUGUCUUGCAUUUGUAAAUAAGGAUGAAAGUGAUGAUGCAUGGAUAUGAAGUCAGAACUGUACAACAGAAGACAGGGAAAACAGGCUUCUCUGAGAGAUUUCCCUCAUUCAGAUAAUGGUCCUUGUUCAGCAUUAGGAAUCAAAGCAGCUCUUCUGAUCAGUGAAGUAAAGAAUGAAUGAAUGAACAAUAUACCUGAGAAUAUGUACUAGCCAGUGAAUUGAACUGCUACAGAGCCAGGCUGUAAUUCUUACGGGUAAAGGAUGCUUAUAUUUAAUUUAAUCAGAGAACAUUAUAAAGAGAUUACAUUACUGUGAAGACAUUGUGAAAGAUAACCUCCUUUG